rnacentral:rRNA from 1 species
GUGUCAGCAGCCGCGGUAAUACGGAGGGUGCGAGCGUUACUCGGAAUUACUGGGCGUAAAGGGCGCGUAGGCGGCCGUGCAAGUCUGGUGUGAAAGCCCAGGGCUUAACCCUGGAAGUGCACUGGAUACUGUGCGGCUUGAGUGCCGGAGAGGAGGGGGGAAUUCCCGGUGUAGCGGUGAAAUGCGUAGAUAUCAGGAGGAAGGCCUGUGGCGAAGGCGGCCCUCUGGCGCUCAACUGACGCUGAGGCGCGAAAGCGUGGGUAGCAAACAGGAUUAGAUACCCUGGUAGUCCACGCCCUAAACGGUGGGCACUAGGUGUGGGGCUCGAGAGGGUUCCGUGCCGAAGGGAAACCAAUAAGUGCCCCGCCUGGGGAGUACGGCCGCAAGGUUGAAACUUAAAUGAAUUGACGGGG